rnacentral:lncRNA from 1 species
AUGAGAGAUGCACACAGAGAGAGAGAGAGAGAGAGAGAGAGAGGCAGAGACACAGGCAGAGGGAGAAGCAGGCUCCAUGCAGGGAGCCCGACGCGGGACUCAAUCCCGGGUCUCCAGGAUCACGCCCUGGGCCCAAGGCAGGCGUCCCCCCCUCCCGUUUUUAUUUCUUUCCCCUCCCUUUCCCCGCCUGGCGCAGGAACUCCCGCCUUCCACCCGCGCUGGCACCGAGAGCCCCCUCAGGGGGUUGAGCCCUGGCAGCAAAGCGAGGCGCGGCCGCCCCCAACAGCAGCGGGACCGAGGCCCGGCCCUUCGUCCUACCUGCGAGCCCCGGGUGCCCCAGUCCUCCGGGACACAUUAGAGACAUAAACGUGUAAAUGUGACAAACAGAAAGAGGUUAUGCCAUUAACAAAAUGGAAAUGUGGAGUCGGAUGCCCCACUGCCGUGUAUAGGAUACAGGAAAAGAGAUGUGGGAUAGGAAGCACAUAUUACUUCAUCACUUGAAUCUCAGCUACAGAGAGGCUUCUCAGGACAAGGUAUAUGAUUCCUUAAUUUUAGCAAAAGCAGUCUACUUCUGCAUUUAGCACAACAAAACAAAGAUUGUCUUCAUCUACUAAAAUGUAAGCCAUGUGAAGUCAGUGUAUGUGUGUGUGUGUACACUUUGGAACCACAGUGCCUAGAACAUGCUGUUGCCACGUGGUACACAAAUAUGCUUAUUUAAUCACAAAGUGGGAUUUUUUCUUUUAGCUUAUUUAAUUUACUGUCUGUUUUUUUCUGUUCUCUCAAAGCUGACUGCCAAUAGAUCUGAUUUUAUCUGUUUUUG